AAAUAUUUUAAAAAAUAUGCUAGCGGUGAAACUUUAGAAACAAAAGUCAUGCUACAUCAAUCCAAAGAUGUCACUGAUAAGGCUAAAUGAUCUUUUUAUUUUUUUUAUAAAUUUUUUUUUCAUAUAGUUUUUUAUAUUAUAAAAUGCAACAAUGUCGUUUCUCUUCCCUCGAAGAUAGAAGGGAUUUCAUCAUAAUUUUGCCCAUUUCAUCCCAUAUCCACGAAGUCUUAUCUUCGAUUUUUCUAUUUUCUCUAUCUUCUACAUCGCACGAAGCCUCAUCGUCUUUUCCACGAAGUCACCGCCUUAUGAAGUCAUAGCCCGUCGCAGCCUACUCUUCAUCUUCUCCACUGUGGGCCUUUGUGGUCUCCACCAAUCCAUGAAGGCCCACGAACCUACCAACACCAACACCCAUAGUCACUAUCUUCAUCUUCUCUUCGUCUUUUUCACGAAGCCAUAUAGCCACAGCCCCUUCGUCUUCUUCACAAACUCAUUGAAUGGCUAUCUUCAUCUUCUCCAUGAAGUCCCUUUUUUCCUCUUCUCCACUCGGAUCUGAAAUCCACGAACCCGGAUCUGAAAUCUCUUUCCCACAAAGCCCCAUAAGAUUUUGAAACCAUACUUGCUGAAAAAUGGGGAAAAAGUGAUUUUUCUUCUCAUUUCAUGAUACUUUUCAACCAUGAAGAUUGCUUCCAUUCUAAUUACUUCGUGCUCUAAAGAGCACUAGAAGAUCUAUCAAGAGUGGUUCAAUUAUAUUGAUUUAGGUACAUUCACUCCUAUUUAAAUUUGGUUUUUCUCACCAAAUUUGAUCUCCAUUCCUCUUUUGGUUGAAAUAAUAUUGAAUAUUGUUUCAUUAAAAAUCAAUUCCCCCUUUUUUGUUUUUAAGAUUUUGAAUUAUAGGCUUAUUGCAUUUUGUGUAUGUUCAAACUAUGUGUUUUGUUUAGAUGGAAAUCGCCGUAUAACAGGGAAUGAUGCUACUAAGUUUUUCUCUAUGUCCAAUUUGUCCAGGCAAGAUCUCAAGUAGGUUUAAUUUCAUUAUUUUUUGUUCAUUUUCUUGACAAUAUUUGUGAAUCAUUCAUUGCUUCAGCUUAAUUGAUGAAUUGGAAAAUUGAUUUUGCUAAUAUUUUCACAAUUUUUUAAAUGAUUAUCAUAUAUAUGUUAGACGAAUAGCUUUAUAAACGAUAGUUGUGGUUAGUGCUGUUAUGGAGGGUUUGGAUGCACUAAUAGUGGUAACUAUGCUAUUUUUAUUUUUAUUAAUUCUUUGUUCCAUUAAUUUCCUUCAAGGAACUCUUACCUUUUCAUGUCAUCCACUCAGAAGGAGAAGCGAAACGAAAAGACAAGUGAACUUGAUGCAAAUGCUCAUUCAAUGACAAACCUGUAAAUGAAGCUACUACUGGUCCAAUUGGGAAAGAACUUUUUGAAAAAAGAGCAGGAGGACCUUCAUGUUGAUCUAGAAGAUAUUCCGAAGAAAGUUUGUGAAAGCUUGUGAUCGCAGAACUUGUAUAAAUACACGGUAUUUUAAGUUACUAUGUGGUAGCAUGGUAAUUCUAUUUAUAAAUGUCUUGAAGGUUGAAGGGCUUUUAACCGGUUUGUAAAACAGUUUGUAUUGUACUUCGUAUAGAUGAUGCAUGUUACCUACUAGUUUGUAAAAAAGUUUGAUUAGAACACUAGAAAUCUUGACUGCCAGUAUUCAAAGUUACGGUU